UCGGGGAUCGUCCAAUGGUAAGACCGCGGCCUUUGGAGCCGUUAAUCCAGGUUCGAAUCCUGGUCCCCGAACGA
rnacentral:tRNA from 1 species